rnacentral:rRNA from 1 species
GCAUAUCAAUAAGCGGAGGAAAAGAAACUAACAAGGAUUCCCCUAGUAACGGCGAGUGAAGCGGGAAGAGCUCAAAUUUGAAAUCUAGUAGCCUUCGGCUGCUCGAGUUGUAAUCUAGAGAAGUGUGUUCCGUGCCGGCCCAUGUACAAGUCCCUUGGAACAGGGCGUCAUAGAGGGUGAGAAUCCCGUCCCUGACAUGGACCCCCGGUGCUCUGUGAUACACUUUCAACGAGUCGAGUUGUUUGGGAAUGCAGCUCAAAAUGGGUGGUGAAUUCCAUCUAAAGCUAAAUAUUGGCGAGAGACCGAUAGCGAACAAGUACCGUGAGGGAAAGAUGAAAAGCACUUUGGAAAGAGAGUUAAACAGUACGUGAAAUUGUUGAAAGGGAAACGAUUGAAGUCAGUCAUGCUCUUUGGUAUUUAUAUCAUUGAGUGGGGUCAACAUCAGUUUUGAUCGAUGGAUAAAGGCACUAGGAAGGUAGCACUCUCGGGUGAACUUAUAGCCUAGCGUCAUAUACAUUGAUUGGGACUGAGGAACGCAGCAUGCCUUUAUGGCCGGGAUUCGUCCACGUACAUGCUUAGGAUGUUGACAUAAUGGCUUUAAACGACCCGUCUUGAAACACGGACC